rnacentral:rRNA from 1 species
AAGAGACUAACCAGGUAUUUCCCUAGUAAUGGCGAACGAACCGGAAAGAGCCCAGCUUGAAAAUCCCGGCGCUUCGCGCCGGGAGUUGUAGUCUGGAGACGCAUCCUCUGCAACGCACCGGACCCAAGUUCCCUGGAAAGGGACGUCAGAGAGGGUGACAACCCCGUCGAGUCUGGACCGUGUUGCUCCACGAGGUGUGGUCGUCGAGUCGGGCUGUUUGGGAAUGCAGCCCUAAGUGGGAGGUAAAUUCCUUCCAAGGCUAAAUAUUGGCAAGAGACCGAUAGCGAACAAGUACCGCGAGGGAAAGAUGAAAAGGACUUUGAAAAGAGAGUUAAAAAGUGCUUGAAAUUGCUGGGAGGGAAGCGAAUGGAAGCUGCGGGUGCGCCCCGGUUGGAUGUGGAACGGCUUCGGCUGGUCCGCCGCUCAACGCGGGGCGCUGGUCAGCGUGGGCCAUCGCGGCGGGACAAGAGCGGGAUGUAGUUUCCCGCCUAUGCCGUUGCGGUGGCCGAGGAACGAAGCGCGCGGCCUCGUGCCGUGGGACCCGUCCCAACUGCGCGCUCGGGACGCUGGCGUAUUGAGCUCUUCAUCCGACCCGUCUUGAAACACGGACCAAGGAGUCUAACAUGUAUGCGAGCCGGUGGGCGGCAAACCCAUUGAGGCGCAAGGAAACUGACAGGUGGGACCCCCGUAAAAAAGGGAGCACCAUCGACCGAC